rnacentral:rRNA from 1 species
UAGCUUCCCGGAAACGAAAGUCUUCCGGUUCCGGGGGAAGUAUGGUUGCAAAGCUGAAACUUAAAGGAAUUGACGGAAGGGCACCACCAGGAGUGGAGCCUGCGGCUUAAUUUGACUCAACACGGGGAAACUCACCCGGCCCGGACACCGUAAGGAUUGACAGAUUGAUAGCUCUUUCAUGAUUCGGUGGUUGGUGGUGCAUGGCCGUUCUUAGUUCGUGGAUCGAUUUGUCUGGUUUAUUCCGAUAACGAGCGAGACUCUAGCCUACUAAAUAGUAACGAGAUUAUCAAUGUCUCAGUUGCUUCUUAGAGGGAUUUUCGGUGUUUAGCCGCACGAGAUUGAGCAAUAACAGGUCUGUGAUGCCCUUAGAUGUCCGGGGCUGCACGCGCGCUACACUGGCGAAAUCAGCGUGCUGUAUCCAUUCUCGAAAGGGAUUGGUAAACCCAUGAAAAUUUGCCGUGCUUGGGAUCGGAAAUUGCAAUUAUUUUCCGUGAACGAGGAAUUCCAAGUAAGUGCGAGUCAUCAACUCGCUCUGAUUACGUC